rnacentral:rRNA from 1 species
UAAGACGAACCUGACAAACGUUAUUCGGAAUUACUGGGCUUAAAGGGUGCGUAGGCGGCGUGGCAAGUUGGGUGUGAAAUCCCUCGGCUCAACCGAGGAACUGCGCUCAAUACUGCCAUGCUCGAGGGAGACAGAGGUGAGCGGAACUUAGGGUGGAGCGGUGAAAUGCGUUGAUAUCCUAAGGAACACCGGUAGCGAAAGCGGCUCACUGGGUCUUUUCUGACGCUGAGGCACGAAAGCUAGGGUAGCGAACGGG